CACAUAAGACAUCCUAACCAGAUGUAUGACAAAAAUCAAUUUUAAAUAUGGACAAACUACAUGCCUCUUUUUUAUUAUUGAAUCAAUGUACAUCAUAGUGUCUUAUUAUAUUUCAUGCUCCAAUGCAUGUAUAAAAUAUCCACGCUUCAACAACAAAGGGUAUGAAGCAAACAAAAAAUAGCCCCAUGCUGUGAUAUUUUGUCUUCCAGUGCAAAGGGGGCUCUUACAUAAAAAUGACCAUUCAAAAAUGGCACAAAACCGCUGAACAGCAAACCAACAUUAAGAGCAAGAACUCCUUUUGUGCAUGUUUUCACAAAAAUCAACAAAUUCAAAAAUGUAAUCUUGACCUGCCUGUCAUUCAAAAUCCCCAAAUUAUUAGGCAUACUCAUUUUAGGAGCUCCUCAUGCACUUUAAAUGAACUUGCACCGGAUCUUCUGAAGAAGAAAAAAUCUCAAUUGAUUUGAGUGCUUGGCAGCUUCAGUAUACUUCUCACCAGGGGUGGCAUCAGCUGAUGGGAAGAGGCCACCGUCACCCCUAUGAAAUUCUUGGCCACAAUACUCGCCAGUCAGUCACAUAGGUCCUAGUGUCAGUUACAUUAAACGUCGGAAAAGUCACCCCCCCGUCGACUAUAGGUUCAGCGGAAGAAAAUCUCAAUCUAAUUAUUUUUUCAUAACAUUGAUAUGAAUAUGGCGGCACAGCGGACAACUGGUUAGUACAUCUGCCUCACAUUUCUGAGGUCCCGGGUUCAAAUCCGGCUUCGCCUGUGUACAGUUUGCAUGUUCUCCCCGUGCCUGUGUGGUUUUUCUCCGGAUACUCCGGUUUCCUCCCACAUUCCAAAAACAUGCAAGGUAAGUUAAUUUAAGACUUAAGUUGUCCGUAGGUGUGAAUGUUGUUCGUCUGUAUGUGCCCUAUGAUUGGCUGAAGACCAGUUCAGGGUGUACCCCGCCUCCCGCCCGAAGUCGGCUGAGAUAGGCGCCAGCACACCCAUGACCCAAGCGAGGAUAAGCGGUUCAGAAAAUGGAUGGAUGGUGGAUGAUGAUAUGAAUAUUAUCCCUGUAUUUGUGUCACUCCACCCCCAUUACACUGUUGUAAAAGUACUUCCUGAAGUAUUUCCUGAAUGCAGAGGACCGUUUGCUCAGAGAGGAUCCAGAAAGAGGAAGUAGAUUGCAUGAUUGUGUGUGUGUGCGUGUGUGUCACUUUUGUGAGACAGGAUCUCUGUUUGUGUUAUCGCGUGUGUGUCUGUGUGCGCGCAUAUAUUCACACACGCCCUUCCUUGAGUUUUGGUGCGACUGAGUCAUGUGUCGUGCAUCAGGACUUUGCAACAGUUGCACUUUGGAAUGAGGAAGGAGAUUUUGACAACAGGCCUGAGGAUUUUAGAAGACGAAGCCGCGGUGUGAGCAUCAAGCUCAGACAUUCCACCAUGACACCGUGCCGAGUACUUGGUGAUAUCUACUGGACUGCACCAUAUAUUCCAGGAAGGUGAUCAUGGCCCAGGAUCUGGUCCUGAAGCAACGCAGCGAGAUCCUCUACUGUCUCUGCGCCAACGGCUCGACUGAGUCGCUGGAGAGGGUCCUGGAUGUCCUCCUGGCCCGUGGGGAGCUUUCGUGGGAGGAUUACCACAAUGUGCGUGUGCAGGGGAGACCGCUUCACGCCAACGCCAGGCAUCUGCUGGACCUGGUCUAUACCAAAGGGGAAGCAGCGUGCCAGGCCUUCGCCGAGGCUUUCCAGCAGACCCGACCUGAAGCUUGGGGGCCUGAAGUGCCGGGGCCUGUCACCAGGGUGCUUCUGACCCGAAGGCCCAGCCUGGUGGGAGAGCUAAGAGGCUGUGUGGAUGGAGCUCUGGAAGCUCUGCUGGAAUCAGGAUGCUUCACCCAGGAGGACUGUAGAGACGUACGCUUGCCUGUACACACUCCCUCGCAGCAGGCCAGACGCUUGCUGGAUCACGUGAGCUCGAAAGGAGAGUCCGCGGCUAAUGUGGUGCUAUGCUACAUUGAGCAAAAGCAACAGUCUGGGUAUAACCUGACAACAGAGAAGACCACACCCAAAGAGCUCCUCACAUACCAAAAGAAGUUGCGCAGUUCCGUGUCGGCGCAGUCGAGCUUCCUUAGCACCUACGGAGGAACUGGCCACAUGUCACUGGAUGACAUCUAUACUGAAGGCCAACUUGAGCUGGCGUAUGACUGCAAGGAUCAAGGAGAUUUGGGCCUGGAGGACAUCGUUGGUACAGCGGGCACUGUGAACGAGGAGGCAGACACGGUCCUGGUGUCUGGGGAUGCGGGCAGCGGUAAGAGUACCUUACUCCAGAGGCUGCACCUUCUCUGGGCUCGACAGGCCGCCCUACCCGAAUUCCUCCUCCUAUUCCCUUUCAGCUGUCGCAAGCUGAAUUCUGAACUCGAGGAGCUGUCGGUCCAAGAGCUGCUCUUCCGCAACUGUUGCUGGCCCGACCAUGAGCGGGAUGAGAUCUUCCGCUUCAUCCUGGACUACCCGCACCUUGUGUUCAUCACCUUCGAUGGCCUCGACGAGCUCAAGCAGAGCUUCUCGGACGACUGCAGGCUCUGCUGCCCCACGCAGCCCGCCCCUGUGCACAUAAUACUGUUCAACCUGCUCCAGGGGUCCCUCCUAAAGGGGGUGCGAAAGUUGGUGACCAGUCGGCCGGAGGCUGUGGGUCCAACGUUGAGAAAGCAUCUCCGCAAAGAACUCUUCCUCAAAGGGUUCUCCCCCGAAGGCAUCAACUGUUUCAUCAAGAAACAACACCAGGACUCGUCGGUGGCCUCUAAAGUCCUGGCGUCCAUUCAGGCCAACACAACUUUAUUGGGACUCUGCCACAGUCCUGUGCUCUGCUGGAUUGUCUCACAGUGCCACAAGGAGCUGCUGGGCUGUGGAGACGGGACACCACGGACCAUAACGGAUGUGUACCUCAUGAUCCUGCAGCACUUUUUGCAGCACCAAAGCCCCCAGAAGUGUUCCAUGGGGGCCGGUUGGCUUCAGGAGCACCUGGUAGGGGUCUUGAGUCUGGGCCAGCUAGCUUUUCGGGGUGUAGAAACUUGCUGUUACGUCUUCGCUGGCGCUGACCUGGAGACCUGCUGUGUUACAGACAAGGACAUCUACAAGGGCUUCCUCACCCAAAGCAAGGGCAUGUCGUCCUUACAGAUUCUUCAGUACGAAUUCCUUCACGUGACCAUGCAGUGUUUCUUUGCCGCGCUUUACAUCGUUUUGUCCAACAACACGGACCGCUCCACUGUACCUAGGCUCUUUGAGCUGAGGGAGGCAGGCUCCAGUAGCACCUGCUUCGGGUUCUGCUUGCCUGUGGACCACCAACAGGAGCUGGCCGAAACCCCCAAUCUACAAAUAACAGCCACUUUUGUCGCCGGUCUUCUUUCCCAGAGACACCGACACCUAUUGCUGCAGUGCGCCCCAUCACCCACUGUGGAAAUGAAAGCGAGACAGGUGGUCCGGUGCCUCCACAAAGGCAUGCAGAAGCACUUCAAGUCCAUCCCCAAGCCAGUUGAGGGUGAAAAAAAGAGCAUGCACGCCAUGCCUGGCUUUGUCUGGCUCAUCAAGUGCAUCUACGAGAUGCGGGAGAGCAACAUGGCCAAAGAGGCACUAAGCAAGCUGGAGGUUGACCACCUGAAGCUGACCUACUGCAACAUCGGACCCGUGGAGUGCACAGCUCUGGCCUACGUGCUCCAGCACCUGAGAAGUCCUGUGGGAAUCCAGCUGGACAACAACUCUGUGGGAGACGUGGGCGUGGAGCAGCUCCUUCCCUGUUUGCCUAUUUGCAAGUCCCUUUACCUCAGAAAUAAUAACAUCACCGACGAAGGGAUUCGCAAACUGAUCGCAAAGGGAAUCCAGUGUGACAACUUCCAGAAAAUUGCUGUUCCCUUUUAGACUCUUCAACAACAAGCUCACUGACGCUUGUAUGCAACACGUUUCUCAUCUGCUGAAAACCAAACAGAAUUUCCUCUCUUUGAGAAUGGGCAACAACAAUAUUACAUCGGAAGGAGCCAAAGUGCUAG